CUCGGAGACGCGCUCAGCGUCAUCUCGCGAGGCGGUGGCGGUUUCUUUCGAGCCACCUUUACAAAAAAUUUGCGUCGCGCUAUGUUACACAGGUGUCAGCGUGGGACAAACCACAGAAGCUGCUGAUCUGCCCUCUGCAUAUCUACAAGACUGUCUCCCAUGUGGGAAGAAUAUCAUUUGUGGCUGUCAGUGCUUCAAAGCCCAUUUGUCCCCAGGAGGGUUCCCCAGUCACUGCUACAUUGAUGAUAUCCAACUCUUAUUCUCCCCUUCUGGAGCUACAGACAUGUCCUUCUCAUAGCCCAGCUUGCAUGCUGGACAUCUGUGCUGGCCAACUGAGCAUCAUACAGAGCUCAGCUUCUCCAAGACCAAGAUCCUUCACCUCUCAGCAGUUCAAGCCACUUGUCGAACGCUAUCAAACUGGAGCAAAUGUCAAUUCACUCACUUUGUCAGUCAAGAGCCUCUGAAUAACAAUUGACUCAAGCCUUCUGCCUCUUCCAACAUAUCAAAGCCAUAACCCAGUCCUGCAUAUACAUCCUGUGUAACAUCCAGAAGUGCUUUUUUAUCUCUCAACAUACUUUACACAGCUUCUGCUCCAGCCUAUUGUGAUAUUACCCGCAACUACUGCAAAUUCCUCCUGUUUUGUCUUCUGUCCUCCAUCAAGCUUCUCCAACUGAUACAGAACACAGCAGCACAAGUUGUGUUUAAUGACCUUCUUCAUCUCUCCCAUUAGCUUCCUACAACAGCCCAUAUCAAGUUCAAGACUGGUUAUGACCUACAAGAUUGUUCAACGAUCUGCUUCCUGAUAUCCAUAGAGCCCGAUUGCCCGGGUUGCUCUAGGCAAACUGCUAUGCUCCUCCACCUCUUAGUGGUGCCAUGCACAAGAUGUCAAAAUCAAAACCAUGAAGCUUCUCAGUUUUAGUUCUCAAGUAUGAGCUCUCUCUCUCCUUCAGAACUGCUGAAUCGCUCAUCAUUCAAGAAGGGUCUCAACACACAUUUUUUUUUCCCCCCAUCCACUUCUCACCCAAUCUAUCUGCUCUAUAAACUUGGAACUAUAUUAUCAGCUGAAAAAAGUUGUAUGGCUUAUCAAUUCUAUAAAUAGCUUCUCACAUAAGGUAUGCUAGCAAAAACAGUGUUUCACUAAUUGACAGGGAUCGGUUGUCUGCAUCUGUAGGUGAUGUACACAUUGAAUUUGUACGUUGCUUUGGAGAGAAGUAUCUGCUAAAAUGCAAAUAUAAAUCACAGGAAUACAAAAUGCAGGACUUUGGCUGGAAAGAUGAAACUAAACCUUUUAGUUUGAUCUUUGCAGCCUAGAAGAGGCACUUGUUUAAAGGUGUUCUAGAUGUGCUGUAAUUGAUUCUUCACAGCCUUUGUCUAGGUUGAAAUAAACAUUCAUCUUUUUGUGCUGAGGAGAUAAAAACUGAAGCAACCAUCUAUAUAUUCUUACCAUUUUCACUAUGCAGUCAAAACUUAAGAUUUAGGGAAAAAAGGUGCUUUGACAACAUCUUGUCCCAUUUCUUUCCUACUUCAUUGGUAUUAAAUUUUUUCAUCUCCCCUACUUAAAUUUGCAUGUAGCUGAAAUUUGCUUUUAAGGCAUGUACUCGUAUGUUUCUAGUUAGACUAUCACAAAACACACCAAUGUAUCACAGCAGACACUGGAUAACAUCCACUAAUUAUGUAAAGUGGAAAGAAUGUAAAUGAA